UCCUGGUUAGCUCAAUUGGUAGAGCGACCGCCCCGAGAAGGCGUUGGUCCCGGGUUCGAUCCCCGGACCAGGAC
rnacentral:tRNA from 1 species